rnacentral:lncRNA from 1 species
UUUUUUUUUUUUUUUUGCUUUUUAGGGCUGCACUCUUGGCACAUGGAGGUUCCCAAGCUAGGGAUCGAAUUGGAGCUACAGCUGUCGGCCGGCAUUGCUGUGAGCUGUGGUGUAGUUCGCAGACACAGCUCAGAUCUGGCGUUUCUACGGCUCUGGUGUAGGUCGGCAGCAACAGCUCUGAUUAGACCCCUAGCCUGGGAACCUCCAUAUGCCGCAGGUGUGGCCCUAAAAAGACAAAAAGACACACACAAAAAAAGAAUCUGACUGCAGCAGUUCAGGUCAUAGCUAUGGUUCAGAUUCAGUCCCUGGCCUGAGAACUUCCAUAUGCCGUGGGAGAGGCUAUUUUUUUUUUAAAUGUGAGGUUUGAUCCCACUCUAGUUUGAAACACAGUUCUCAAAAAAACACCUCCUCUAUCUUUAGGGUCAGGAUACUCUGGGGGAAAAAGAACUGAACUGGGAAACAGGAAACCUAGUGUCAAAUCCUGGCUCUGCCCUAACUAGCUGUGUGACCUUAGACAAAGCUCUAAACCUCUCUGUUUUCUCAUUUAUCAAAAGAAGAUUUGAGUCUGAUUAUUUCUAAGAACUGCCUGAGUUCUUCCAGGGCUUACAUCUAAGCCAGGAGCCAAUGAGAGAAUAGUGGACAACACAGGGUGGUGAAAUAGGGAGAUCAGAACACCCCACUCUUCAUCAUGAAGCUCCCAGAAACUAAAUCUAAACCUCUCCUUAUUCUCUUCUCACUCAUACCAAGCUGGAUUAACUUCAAGGACUAGAAACUCCGUCAAGGCAAUAAUUCUUAGAGACAAGUCAAGAAUCAUCACUUGACUGAAACCACCCUAGGGCUGGGCUCUCAGACUUGUUGUGUUUGUGAUUAACUUCCAAAUACUAGAAUUAUUCAGGAUCACAAAAUGUGCUAAAAAAAUCAAAAUAACACUAAACAAGACAGUUAUCAUUAGCUGCCCCAAAUCAGCACAUGCAGGGUCCUGAGAUAGUCAGGGCUCAACUCAAGCAUCAUCUUCUCAGAAAGGCUUUCCCUGGCCAUGCACCAGGCCAGCCAUUCUCCUCCACACCACCCCCUUUUUGAGUUUUUUAUAACAGUUGCCAUCAUCUGAAAUUAUCUUUCUUGUUUAUUUGUUUCCUCAUCGAUUGUUUACCCAUACACACACUAAAAUACAACCCCCAUCAGAGCAAGACUAUAUCUGGCUCAUGCCCCCAUGGUUUCUGAGCCCCCGUAAUGAUGAUGUGCUUAUUCACACAUAGUAGACACAGAAUAAGUAUGUGAUGACUAUGUGAUGAGCAAAUGAGGUCAGCAAAAAUCAUGGCAGAAUCUCUCCUACAGUAUAACCGCAUUUUGCCAUGUCUUUAAUCCUCUCAGUAUUUCUGUGAUUGCCCUUCAUCUUUGUGUUGCUGUUUGUGAAAAUCUCUUUACUGCCUGGACCUUGCUCUCGUACUGAGGCUCCGUUCUCAUGUUCUAGUCAACGCACUCUCUUCCUUUGGCACUCUCUUCACACUUAGCUAUGCCUUUGGUAGGCAGCGCUGGGAGUGUCUAGCUUAUACCAUUCUCCCUUCUCUAGGAAGUCCAGGACACAAGACUUGGGUCCUGAGGGCUCUGAGUAUCUGUAACAGAACCUGGCACCUCCGACUACAUGACCCCGGGGCAAAGUGAGACCAACAAGCGUGGGAGGGCAGAAACCAGGACAGCUCCAGGGACCUCAGUGGCACCCAAGUUGGAGCAAUCAGAUUUUUUUUUUCCACCAAGAAUCUCGAUAGGUAAAAUGGAAAGACCCAGAGACAGAGUCACCAAUUCUGAAAAACAUCCUGAACGCUUACUGUAGAAUUGCCCAACCUGAGGUUUGAUUGUCCUGUACUUCCUUUAGCUUUGUGAGAUGCAAGGGUUCUUCCAGUUGAUUUCUACUGCUUGUAGUCAAAGGAAACUUAACUGAUACAAGUGAUGAGUUCUCCAAUCCACUCUGCAGCACACAACUCCAUCACUUAAUGUUCUAUCUGGCAGAUAUCACUGUAAUCUAUGGACACUUGGUUACAGUUAACAUAAAUUUAUACACUGAUCAAAGUUGUUCACCAGCAGGAAGUUGUCAGCAUGCUGUAAAGUGCAAAAACAUGGAUGAAAAUUACCAGCCUGGAAAGAGUCUGGGUUGCUGGGGGAAAAUGGUAUAAAAUCAAAACGGUCAAAUUUAUGGAGUUCCCUUUGUGGCUCAUUGGGUUAAGGACUCGAUGUUGUUUCUGUGAGGAUGUGGAUUCUAUCCCUGGCCUUGCUCAGUGGGUUAGGGAUCUGGCAUUGCCACAAGCUGUGGUGUAGGUCACAGGUACGGCUUGGAUCCCGUGUUACUGUGGCUAUUGCGUCAGCCGCGGCUGCAGCUCCAAUUUGAUCCCUGGCCCGGGAACUUUCACAUGCUACAGGUGCAGGCUUAAAAUUUUUCUUUAAAUGUGUAGGCAUAGCAAUAACAAUUAAGACCUAGGUUAAUGCUGUACUCAUCUACAUUAUCAGAUAAGAGGACCUGGAAUCUCUGACUUAUUGGCAGUAUAAAUGGAUAAGACCUAAGGGUUUCUGCUGAGUCUAAUCUCAGGAUAAGCUAACACUAUAAGGGCCCAACAUAAUGAGUUCCCAGAUCAUGGUAGGUAUUAAUAACCCUGCAAUCUGAGAUAUGGAUUCAAUACUAGCUGAAGAAUUGUGUCUAAAUCUGUUGUUCAUCCUAUAAAGAGGACAUUGACUUGGGAUGUUCAAGGGGAGGGGUCGCGGGGUCUAGGGAGUUCCCUGGUGGCUCAGCAGGUUAAGGAUCCAGGAUUGUUACUGCUGAGGCUUAGGUCACUGCUGUGGUACAGGUCCAGUCCCUGGCCUGGGAACUUCCACAUGCCACGGAUGAGGCCAAAAAAAAGGCGGGAGGGCUCUAAAAUGAUGAGAGAUGUGUAAGCCAUGGGACACAAUGAACCAUUAACAAGGAGGUUUGGUUCUAGGAAGGAAAGGAUUAAGAAAGUUCAGUUGCUUCAUGAUAUAUUUAAAGAGCAAACACAUGAAAGAAAGCCUCCAUUGUGAUGCUAUUAGACAGAAGUAGGAAUGGUGGGAGAAAAUUAAAAAGAGGCAGAAUUCAAUCUAAAUCAAUGGCUUUCUAUCAGAAUAAUUUUCCAACAAUAGAAUAACAUACCUAACAAGAACUAGGCUACUCUCCCUGGAAAUAUUCUCAAACAGGCUACAUAUGUCCAUGCAUUUUAGAAAGUGCUUCAGCAUUGGAUGGAAGACUAGCGUAGAUUCAGUCCCUUUCAAUGCUGAGACGUGGUCACUAUCUGGGUGACUUGAGCAAGUAAGUUAAUUCCUCUUGGGCUUUUCAGCUUCACCUAUAAGAAGAGAAGAUUAAACUAGAUGAUCUCAAGGUCCCACUCAUUGCAAAAACUCUAUCAUUUACAACAGAGGCAGAACAGAUCACCUGAAGGGGAGGAAGGGUAGACUCACAGAGAGAAGGAAAGACGUCGGGAAGGAGCAGAGAAAGGAAUCGUCAGUUAGAAGAAAGAGGAGACGCUGAUGAAAGACCAAAGUAAAAAAAAAAAAAAGGCUUUCAAGAGGGAAGAAAAAGCCUCACCAGAGUUAUGGACCAGGAGCUAAAGAAGAAAUCAAAAAAGAGGAGAGAGAGAGGUGAAAAGAAGCUGGAGAGGUUCUGCCUUCCCCAGCCCCUCAUCGGCCUAUUUAAUAGCUCCAUCUCCACCUUCUUUAUUGUUCAGCUAUCUUGAUAAAUUUCAACUGGCAUUAACAUGAAGCAUGUGGUUAAUACCAUAGUUUUAACACCCAAUUCAAUUUUAUUACUAACGGCGUCUCUUUUUUUCCAAACAAGGAUUUCUCUGAGACCCAGUGCCUUUUCCCUUUAUAUUCAUCACAUAUUAAAGGUUUCCAGGAGCCCCUAAAUUUCCAAUUUAUGCUGAUGCUCCCACUUGGUAUGCUGAAGGUACUUCAUCACCCUUCGUUAUGAAUGAGCUACAACAGUACUGCAACGGCGCUCAGCAAACAGCUCCUGACUUUCAGGUGUCGUUACAUGCAAGUUAAACUAAAUGGAUGAAUUUUUAGCAGGAAUAAUGUAGUUCAUGUUGACAUUAUUCACCGCUUUCCCAAGAAGACAGGUAUUAAUCAGACAACACUCCUGUAGGUCUCAGUAUAUAAAUAUUUGGGUGUCUGGCUAAACAGUGCCCUAACCUUUAAAAGGCAUAUAGACCUUAUGCUUUAAAUAGGAUCAUCAGUAUAAAGGGCAAUUUAGGAUAAAUAAAAGGAAGAAUUUCUUUGCACAGGAGUAUGGAUGUAUAUGGAACCUAUUAUCUCAAGAAUUUGAACAGCAUACAAAUAAAAAUAAGUCCCCAGGAAGGAUUUAGAUAAGUCAGUAAUCACAAAGUUGUGUGAAUUCUUCUUUCAAAAGCACUCAUGCAGAGUUCCUGAUGUGGCACGGUGGGUUAAGAAUCUAACUGCAGCAGCUCAGGCAUGGAUUUGAUCCCUGGCCCAGCACAGUGGGUUAAAGGAUUGGGUGUAGGUCACACCUGAGCUUCAGAUUCAAACUCUGGCCCCAGAACUUCCAUUUGCUGCAAGUGUGGCCAUAAAAAGAAAAAAAAAAAAAUCUCUCAUGCUUCUGUCUCUUCCCCUCUGUUUCCAUCCUCUUCAUUUUUUUAAUUUUCUUUUUAGGUCCACACCUGUGGCAUAUGGAAGCACCCAGGCUAGGGGCUGAAUCAGAUCUAUAGUUGCUGGCCUACACAACAGCCACAGCAACUUGGGAUCUGAGCCAUAUCUGAAACCUACACCACAGCUCAUGGCAACAGUGGAUCCCUAAUCCACUGAGCUAGGCCAGGGAUUGAACCCACACCCUCAUGGAUACUAGUCAGGUUCUUAAUCCAGUGAACCACAACAGGAACUCCUCCAAUGUCCUUAUUUUGGACAGCAUAAGUUUAUUGAAGCCUCACAGGAAAUUUUUUUUAAGUACAAGAACUUGGGUGUUGUUUCAAGAAAUUUAUAACCUGGAAAGUGGAAUAUGGUAUACCACAGGGGUGAUUAGGAGAGCAUGGCAGCACAUACUAGUGCUCAGUGAGCAGAUGAAUAAGGAUCACUUCAGGAAUUAAAAAGGAAGGGCCAUUUCUAAGAGCAGGAAGACUUCGUGGAGAAGGAUGAAUCUGAUAUGGCCAUAAUGCAUAGAAUCAGGGCACAGAUGAGCAGACAGGAUGGAAAUCCCAUGAGCCAAGGCAUAAAAGUGGCCAAAAGCUUGACAGU